AUAUUCAGUAAAAGGAGAGAAGAUUAGCACUCCUAUUGAUAAGGAUGGAAGGGGUCCUAGUGGCCUUUACAACACAUAUAUGAUUAAGCAUUGCUACCUAUUUUGUGGCAUCUAACCAUGAGGCUGG
ensembl:snRNA